AGCAGCCGCGGUAAUUCCAGCUCCAAUAGCGUAUAUUAAAGUUGCUGCAGUUAAAAAGCUCGUAGUUGAAUUUCGGGACUAAUAUGUCGGUCGUGCCUCGGUACGUACUGGUAUUUUUGGUUUCUCCCUUCUGACGAACCUUGAUGUCAUUAAUUUGGUGUCUUGGGAAAUCAGGACUGUUACUUUGAAAAAUUAGAGUGUUUAAAGCAGGCUCACGCCUGAAUACAUUAGCAUGGAAUAAUGAAAUAGGACGUUUGAUUCUAUUUUGUUGGUUUCUAGGAUCGACGUAAUGAUUAAUAGGGAUAGUUGGGGGCAUUAGUAUUCAAUUGUCAGAGGUGAAAUUCUUGGAUUUAUUGAAGACUAACUACUGCGAAAGCAAUUUGCCAAGGAUGUUUUCAUUAAUCAAGAACGAAAGUUAGGGGAUCGAAGACGAUCAGAUACCGUCGUAGUCUUAACCAUAAACUAAUGCCGACUAGGGAUCGGAUGAUGUAAUUUUUAAUGAUCAUUCGCGCUUAGGG
rnacentral:rRNA from 1 species